rnacentral:lncRNA from 1 species
UUUUAUUUAUUUUUAUUUAUUUCCACUACAAUGUGUAUUUCUUGCUUUAGUUUAAGUGUUGCAUUUGAAUAGCAUGCCAAGUGUUUCUUUAUUAUCUACUGCAUUUUAAUUAUUUCACAAAUCUUGUUUUAGGAUUGUUCAGUUUAAUGUUUUCAUUCACUUUAAUGCUUUCAAUUAUAUUCGGUUGUAUUUAAUUUUCAUUUUUAAUUUCACCAUUUGCAUUCACAAACUUUUCACAAACCCCCCCACUUCGUGUUUGACCUGAUUCUCGAACCACAGUUUGUUCCUUGAGAGACGACCUAGGAGUCAUUCCCUAGCUAUACUGCAUUUCUCAUAUGCAAUCAAAUUUGUAUGGGCCGCGACACCCAUCAAAUUUUGGCGCCGUUGCUGGGGACCAACGGUUCGGUUUUAGGUCUUUUGUUGUGUUAGUGUGUGUUGUGUUUUGUCUUGUGUUGUGAGUGUGUCGCUCUGUUUGUAUGUGUUUGUCAUUGUGUGUUGCAUUUAGAUAAAUUUAGUUGCAUAUUUUCAUUGCAUUCUUCUUAUCCCCCUUCUUUCUCUCUACAUGUCCACCUAUCUUGAUUUUGUGAAUACUGCUUCUUCUGCCUAUGUCCAUGACUAUGAUUCUCUUUCUGCAAUUAACUUUGAUAUUGCUUCUCAUGCAUAUUCUGCUGAUUUCUAUGUUGAGAGCAGUAUGAUUC